CAUAAAGGCGAGCUGCAUUCCUCAGUCUCAUUCGAUGUAUGCGACAGCUGGCUAUAACACACCCGGAGGUGCCACCUUCCAGCUGCCCUUAUCCACCGAACAAAACUGAUGUUGACCCGACUGAGGGGAAUACACCGGCAGAACCGGCUGAGCCUCUCAGUCACGACUGACUUCAAUCGUUUCCCUUUCAACAAUUUCACGUACUGUUUAACUCUCUUUCCAAAGUGCUUUUCAUCUUUCCCUCACGGUACUUGUUCGCUAUCGGUCUCUCGCCAAUAUUUAGCUUUAGAUGGAACUCACCACCCAUUUUGAGCUGCAUUCCCAAACAACUCGACUCGUAGAAGACGUAUCACAGAGCACCGGUCAUUGUGUCAAGUACGGGAUUAUCACCCUCUUUGAUACCCUGUUCCAAGGGACUUAGACACAGUCCGGCACGGAAAACGCCUCUAUAGAUUACAACUCGGACGCACUGAGCACGCCAGAUUUCAAAUUUGAGCUCUUCCCGGUUCACUCGCCGUUA
rnacentral:rRNA from 1 species